GACAGAGGGUGCAAACGUUGUUCGGAAUUACUGGGCGUAAAGCGAGUGUAGGCGGUCCGAUAAGUCGGGUGUGAAAGCCCUGGGCUCAACCCAGGAAGUGCACUCGAAACUGACGGGCUAGAGUACUGGAGAGGUUGGUGGAAUUCUCGGUGUAGAGGUGAAAUUCGUAGAUAUCGAGAGGAACACCGGUGGCGAAGGCGGCCAACUGGACAGAUACUGACGCUGAGACUCGAAAGCGUGGG
rnacentral:rRNA from 1 species